GCAGGCAGGCAGGCUAGCUGCGGGGCUAGACAGGGCGGAGCUCUCGCUGCCUCGGCUCCACCUAUUCAACCUGCAAACAACAACUGGAGAACUCAAAGAAAUGGAGCAGUUUGGGUGAAAACCGGGGGUGGGUGGGAUUUAUUUAAGGUCGAACCAAAAGAUGGCAUCCAGCACUCCACGGCUCCCUGACCAAAUGCCAGAAGUAGGCAGAAAAAGUGAUCUACGCGCAAGUGAUCGAAUGUAACAGAAUCCAUCAUUUCAGCGAGGGUGGAAUGGUUUCUCCUGGAAUGCUUGAGAUGCUGUGAUCUGCCGGAGAGCGCGCGCGCGGGAGAGAGGAGAAGCCACCCAGACACUGUGUGAAUUUAAUUCACCGACCGCGAAUGUGAUCAUCUCACCAAAGGUGAGAACCAGAAGAAAAGUAUGUUCUGGCGUGGAAGUGAGAUGAUGGCCAGGUGUACCUUUGGGAGCCAAUCCUCCAAUACAUCACCACCUACACAGUCUCAUUGGGAAGGGAGUAAAAAAACAACACAGAAAACCCAGAGCCAAAUACACAGAAAUUCUGUGACCUUCAGAAACCCUGUACAGCCUUCUUCCUUCAUUCAAUCAGAUUGCUUGUGCUUCGUAAUCUACCUCCUGCAUAUAUGUGUGUGCAAAUACACACUACCUCAAAACUGCAUAAAUAGUCCAAGCCUGCACAGAAUUGUAAUUUAUUGG